CUUGGACACAGUGACAAGUGCACACGGUGUUUCGUAGCUCCGCAUAAUUACAGAUAUCUAAGAAUUUCACGAACUACAAUAUAGAAUAUCCAUACCAGUAUAUACCAGUUUAUACAUCUCUUCGAUGCGUACAAAUCAUCAUUACGAUUCUGACCUUGACCAUGGAUGUGUUUAUUUAAAGUAGUUUGGAUUUUGCGAUUUAAAUUUUAGUAAUAUGUGCACUUAAAUUAAUUGAGAACAAAGUAGUCAGUUAUACAGACAAGGUUUGUUCGUAUAAAGUAUUAAUUUUCUUCUCAAGCAAUUGCACUGAUUGUUCGCGUAUUAGAGUCAGUGCAUCAUUGAAGAUGAUCAAGAAAUUAAUAUUUCUAUGGAAUAAUAUUGAUAACCAUUAUGAUCGUGCCUUACCAAUUUACAACGAGAUUGAGUCACUUUAUUUUCAACUUACUUCAAUAUCAACUUAUUUCAUUUUCAUCUUCCUAUGGAUCAUCCUUUCUCAAAUUGGAGUUACGUUGCGAACAAGUGUUUUAGAUCAAUUGCAGAACUUCUUACUUCACAAUGCGUAGAACAUAGAAUAAGUUAAUCAAUUUUUAGAUUAGGAUUUUCAGCAAUUAAUAUAUUAAUUCUCGUUUUUCUUCCUGUUUCUUCUCUAUUUUUUGUUUCAGGAUAGUUUUAGAGUUAUGUUAUAUUUAUCGGUUUUCUUUUAUGCUUUAGAAUCAGGAAUGGUUUUAGUUCUUUGAUAUUAACAAUAGUUGUCAAAUGCGUUCCAUAGUGUGGUUGGUUAGGGCACGAAGCAAAGAAGAGGCUAUAUGCCGAAGAAACGGGGGCCCCCCAAAUUUUGGCUCAAGAAGACGACAUUAAUCAAGGUGGCGUUAACUACGUACAGGAUGAGAAUCUUUUUACCGUGGAAGUCAACGUUGUUAAGUCAUGACAGAAGUCGUGUCGUUCUUCUCUUAAUUACGAAUAAUUAGUAUUUAUUUUUUAAGAUACAUUAUC